rnacentral:lncRNA from 1 species
GGCCGCCGUUGUCAUGGAAACUGGGGGUAAGUUUUGCAUUGACCCUAUGGAAAAAUGCAUAAAAUCAGCAUUUUUUCAGAGAGUAUUGCACCAAAGUCAAUGAAACUGUAUUGAUAUAUAACAUUACAUGUUGCAAUGAGAUGUCUGCUUUUAGAAUUUUGGAAUUAUCUACUGUAACCAUGGUUGCAGCAAAAAUGUUCAAAAUUUCAAAAAAAAUUUAAAGUGCUGCAAACUGGAUGAAACUUUACAGGAAUGGUAACUGACAUGUGCAGAGUUGUAUUUUGAAGUUAGAAUUUUCAAAAUGGCCGCCGUAACCAUGGAAACAGCAAAAAUGUCAAAAAUUUCAAAAU